rnacentral:rRNA from 1 species
CCGGAUUUAUUGGGCGUAAAGAGCUCGUAGGCGGCUUGUUGCGUCGACUGUGAAAACCCGCGGCUCAACCGCGUGGCUUGCAGUCGAUACGGGCAGGCUAGAAUUCGGUAGGGGAGACUGGAAUUCCUGGUGUAGCGGUGAAAUGCGCAGAUAUCAGGAGGAACACCGGUGGCGAAGGCGGGUCUCUGGGCCGAUAUUGACGCUGAGGAGCGAAAGCGUGGGGAGCGAACAGG